UACGUAGGGUGCAAGCGUUAAUCUGAAUUACUGGGCGUAAAGCGUGCGCAGGCGGUUUUGUAAGUUUGUCGUGAAAGCCCCGGGCUCAACCCGGGAAUUGCGAUGGAGACUGCAAGGCUUGAAUCUGGCAGAGGGGGGUAGAAUUCCACGUGUAGCAGUGAAAUGCGUAGAGAUGUGGAGGAACACCGAUGGCGAAGGCAGCCCCCUGGGUCAAGAUUGACGCUCAUGCACGAAAGCGUGGGGAGCAAACAGG
rnacentral:rRNA from 1 species